AAUAAUCAAUUGCGCUACUGCAGCACAGGACUGAUCACCGAAUACUAAUUAUUUGAAUCAGAUGAAACAACCAGUAGUUGAAGCAUAGUACUUUCACAGACAGCCUCACACCCAAACUUCUCUACCAUCAUGUAAAUAUGUGAACCAAAAUUUACC